rnacentral:rRNA from 1 species
GACGAACCGAGCGAACGUUGUUCGGAAUCACUGGGCUUAAAGGGCGCGUAGGCGGGCUGUCAAGUCUGGGGUGAAAUCCCGCGGCUCAACCGGGGAACGGGCGCCGAUACGACCUUCCUGGAGGGACGUAGGGGGACCUGGAACUUCCGGUGGAGCGGUGAAAUGCGUUGAGAUCGGAAGGAACGCCCGUGGCGAAAGCGAGGUCCUGGACGUUUUCUGACGCUGAGACGCGAAAGCCAGGGGAGCGAACGGG